UACGAAGGGGGCUAGCGUUGCUCGGAAUCACUGGGCGUAAAGCGCACGUAGGCGGCUUUCUAAGUCAGGGGUGAAAUCCUGGAGCUCAACUCCAGAACUGCCUUUGAUACUGGGGAGCUUGAGUCCGGAAGAGGUGAGUGGAACUGCGAGUGUAGAGGUGAAAUUCGUAGAUAUUCGCAAGAACACCAGUGGCGAAGGCGGCUCACUGGUCCGGUACUGACGCUGAGGUGCGAAAGCGUGGGGAGCAAACAGG
rnacentral:rRNA from 1 species